rnacentral:pre_miRNA from 1 species
CCGGCGAGAAGCCGUAUCGUUGCCAGUUGAGUGCGUCACAGCGAUACGGCUUUUCGCUUG